rnacentral:rRNA from 1 species
UACGUAGGUGGCAAGCGUUGUCCGGAUUUACUGGGCGUAAAGGGCGUGCAGGCGGUCUGUUAAGUCUAGGGUGAAAGCUCCCGGCUCAACUGGGAGAGGUCCUUGGAUACUGGCAGACUUGAGGAGGGUAGAGGAGAGUGGAAUUCCCGGUGUAGCGGUGAAAUGCGCAGAUAUCAGGAGGAACACCAAUGGCGAAGGCAGCACUCUGGGACGUGACUGACGCUGAGACGCGAAAGCGUGGGGAGCAAACAGG